rnacentral:tRNA from 1 species
GUGGUUGUGGCUCAGUGGUAGAGCGCUUGCCUAGCAUGUGUGAGGCACUGGGUUCAAUCCCCAGCAUCACA